rnacentral:pre_miRNA from 1 species
UUGAGUUCAUGUUAGGCAAGAUGUUGGCAUAGCUGAGAUGAAUAAAUGCCAGCUGUGCUGCAUCGAGCCCACCUUGAAU